AAGACUGGGAUAACUCCGGGAAACCGGAGCUAAUACCGGAUAGUUCCUUGAACCGCAUGGUUCAAGGAUGAAAGACGGUUUCGGCUGUCACUUACAGAUGGACCCGCGGCGCAUUAGCUAGUUGGUGGGGUAAUGGCUCACCAAGGCGACGAUGCGUAGCCGACCUGAGAGGGUGAUCGGCCACACUGGGACUGAGACACGGCCCAGACUCCUACGGGAGGCAGCAGUAGGGAAUCUUCCGCAAUGGACGAAAGUCUGACGGAGCAACGCCGCGUGAGUGAUGAAGGUUUUCGGAUCGUAAAGCUCUGUUGUUAGGGAAGAACAAGUGCGAGAGUAACUGCUCGCACCUUGACGGUACCUAACCAGAAAGCCACGGCUAACUACGUGCCAGCAGCCGCGGUAAUACGUAGGUGGCAAGCGUUGUCCGGAAUUAUUGGGCGUAAAGGGCUCGCAGGCGGUUUCUUAAGUCUGAUGUGAAAGCCCCCGGCUCAACCGGGGAG
rnacentral:rRNA from 1 species